AAACCGGAGGAAGGUGGGGAUGACGUCAAGUCAUCAUGGCCCUUACGGCCUGGGCUACACACGUGCUACAAUGGUCGGUACAAAGGGUUGCCAAGCCGCGAGGUGGAGCUAAUCCCAUAAAACCGAUCGUAGUCCGGAUCGCAGUCUGCAACUCGACUCGCGUGAAGUCGGAAUCGCUAGUAAUCGUGAAUCAGAAUGUCACGGUGAAUACGUUCCCGGGCCUU
rnacentral:rRNA from 1 species